GCUGUGAUGGCCGAGCGGUCUAAGGCGCUGGAAUUAGGCUCCAGUCUGUAAAAGGGCGGGGGUUCGAAUCCCUCUCGCAGCA
rnacentral:tRNA from 1 species